ACUACCACUGUUGGUUGUAGUCAUGAUUUUUUGACGCCAUCACAGAGACGGCUACAUGGCGUUGAUCUAUCUAAAGUAUCAACUCCAACACCAAGUAAUGUUCUUUUUUGAUGCUAAAACUCUCCAAAUUAUGGCUUUUAUGUGUUUGAUUGUGAUAUUUUCACCCUAUUUUGUCAAUAGUUUUGUAUCGGCAGUUUUAGCAGCAAACAUUAACCAGCAAUUUAUUACCAAGUAUCAAAUCAUCAUGAUUCAAAUUAGUUAGUUUAUUUCUUUGUUUAGUGAUUAACUUAGAUCCUUGAAAACAGUAGAUCAUAUAUUUGUAGCUGGCACUAUACUCUUCAAAUUUAGGCCUGCAAAUGUAAAAUAUUUUGUAAGCCUAAACCAUAAACUCUUAUUCAGAGAAUCGGAAGUCACAUUUUAUUCUUUUUCAAUUGCAGCUUUAAAUGUAAAAAUUUUAUAC
rnacentral:lncRNA from 1 species